rnacentral:rRNA from 1 species
UACGUAGGGGGCGAGCGUUAUCCGGAAUUACUGGGCGUAAAGCGCACGCAGGCGGUUCGCCAAGUUUGGAGUGACAGUUGGCGGCUCAACCGACAAAGGACUUCAAAAACUGGUGAACUUGAGGACGAGAGAGGAACAUGGAACUCCAGGUGUAGUAGUGAAAUGCGUAGAUAUCUGGAAGAACACCAAUGGCGAAGGCAAUGUUCUGGCUCGUUUCUGACGCUCAGGUGCGAAAGCCAGGGGAGCGAACGGG